UACGUAGGGUGCGAGCGUUGUCCGGAAUUAUUGGGCGUAAAGGGCUCGUAGGCGGUUUGUCGCGUCGGGAGUGAAAGCCCAGGGCUUAACCCUGGGCUGGCUUCCGAUACGGGCAGACUAGAGGUAUGCAGGGGAGAACGGAAUUCCUGGUGUAGCGGUGAAAUGCGCAGAUAUCAGGAGGAACACCGGUGGCGAAGGCGGUUCUCUGGGCAUUACCUGACGCUGAGGAGCGAAAGUGUGGGGAGCGAACAGG
rnacentral:rRNA from 1 species